rnacentral:rRNA from 1 species
UACGGGGGGGGCAAGCGUUGUUCGGAAUUACUGGGCGUAAAGGGCUCGUAGGCGGCCAACUAAGUCAGACGUGAAAUCCCUCGGCUUAACCGGGGAACUGCGUCUGAUACUGGAUGGCUUGAGUGUGGGAGAGGGAUGCGGAAUUCCAGGUGUAGCGGUGAAAUGCGUAGAUAUCUGGAGGAACACCGGUGGCGAAGGCGGCAUCCUGGACCACGACUGACGCUGAGUGAGCGAAAAGCCAGGGGAGCAAACGGG